GGCGGGUCGGUGUGCGUAUCCCCGAACCGGUGACACGGUGGCGCUGGGCCGGCCCUGCUGGGCGGACAGGUCACGAUCCCAGAGUCACGGAAUGGGACAGCUCCACUGUGGAUUCUGUGGUGCUGCUGACCCACUCUAGCAUCAAUUUAUUAUCAGCACUGGCAGUCCUGGACCAACAGCUCCUGUGGAAACCUACAGUCCCUGCAGGGACAGUUCCCACUAUCAUGAAACAUGGAGAACUUCUCUGCUGCUCUCCUUCUGCAUUAGCAUUUUGAUAGGAUGCCAGAAAACAAAAAGCUCCUGAGAACUGUUUAAAAAUAAAACAAAAGGAUGGAAGCUACUUAGAAAAAAUAAUUAAAUUCUCAGUGUCUCCUUACAACAUUAAUAUAAAUAUUUUAAAUGCACUUAAAGUACUUGAAUUUAGGUUAAAAUUAUUUUAAAGUUUGGGGGUUUUUUUGUAACAUGCACUACAUCACUUUACCUGAAAAUCCCGAGUAUUUAUAUGAUUGCAAUAAUGAAAAUAUCAUAAACCAUCCCUUCAUUUCAAAUAAAGAGAUGUUGUAAAUAAAAUAACUGGUUAUUCAUGGGUUGGUACCUUCCUGGAGGAAAACUCAGCUGAAAAUCAGGGAAAGUUUUACAACAAACAUUGCAGCACACAAA